rnacentral:rRNA from 1 species
GCAAAUUACUUACACCACCGRSYGRRAWYRGCACUGCAAGAGGGGGGGGCGAGGAAAUACAUAUCAUAAGCGGAGGAAAAGAAACCAACAGGGKAUUGCCUCAGUAACGGCGAGUGAAGCGGCAACAGCUCAAAUUUGARAUCUGGCCYCYGUGCGGGGUCCGAGUUGUAAUUUGARGAGGAKGCUUCUGGCAAGGUGCCUUCCGAGUUCCCUGGAACGGGACGCCGCAGAGGGUGAGAGCCCCGUACGGUUGGACGCCGAGCCUCUGUGAAGCUCCUUCGACGAGUCGAGUAGUUUGGGAAUGCUGCUCAAAAUGGGAGGUAAACCCCUUCUAAAGCUAAAUACUGGCCAGAGACCGAUAGCGCACAAGUAGAGUGAUCGAAAGAUGAAAAGCACUUUGAAAAGAGAGUUAAAAAGCACGUGAAAUUGUUGAAAGGGAAGCGCUUGCGACCAGACUCGCGCCCGUCGGAUCAGCCGUCGCUCGCGGCGGUGCACUCCGGCGGGCUCGGGCCAGCAUCAGUUCGUUGGGGGGGAGAAAGGCGGCGGGAAUGUGGCUCCACGGAGUGUUAUAGCCCGUCGUGUAAUACCCCCUGGCGGACUGAGGACCGCGCGUAUGCAAGGAUGCUGGCGUAAUGGUCGUCAGCGACCCGUCUUGAAACACGGACCAAGGAGUCGUCCUAAUAUGCGAGUGUACGGGUGUCAAACCCCUGCGCGUAAUGAAAGUGAACGGAGGUGAGAGCYUCGGCGCAUCAUCGACCGAUCCUGAUGUUCUCGGAUGGAUUUGAGUAAGAGCAUAUUGGGCCGGACCCGAAAGAAGGUGAACUAUGCCUGUGUAGGGUAAAGCCAGAGGAAACUCUGGUGGAGGCUCGCAGCGGYUCUGACGUGCAAAUCGAUCGUCAAACAAUGGGCAUGRGGGGCGAAAGACUAAUCGAACCUUCUAGUAGCUGUUUCCGCCGAUCCCCCCCCCUGAAGAAAAAAUCGAUGAAAACAGGUUCUGAUAAGGCUUCUAUCCACCUUCUCUCCCUCUUGACAAUGUAUUUACAAUGAAUAUCGCGUUCGAACUCCCCUACGAGCUUCCAGCUGUUUCUCUCGCUCUUACUACCAGGCAUUGGUUUCUUGGCUUGCAGGUUCGUCAUUAUGCCUUUCUCUAACUCAGGAGUCGGAGGUAGAAUCAAGGCCUGACUCUAUUAUCGCACCGGGGCRYUGACCUURGMWUAAGAAAGCCUAGUCGUAUUAGCGACGGAGAUCAUGCA